GCAGAGGGCGAGCAGGAGACAUCCAAAAGCAGCAGGUGAGGCAAAGAGGCCCAGACAAGGAAUCUGGAGUUCAAUGACGGGAGACGCACAGGGCAGAGCGAAAGGGGCAAGAGAAAUUUCAAAAGCGAGGAUGUGAGAUCUACCCUUAUACGGUUCACAGAUGAGUUAAGGAGUGCUAGAGAACAAGCAAAAUCAGUCCUCAAGCAUUUUCCUGCUUUUCUCAAAUAUGUGGGAAGACCUCUAAGCAGGAAGAGACACAGGUGGCUGUAGAUACAGGACUGAAGAAAACAGAUUAACUUGCUCAAGCUAAUUUCAGAAGGUUUAUACACCCAAGAAAAGUCAUUCAAACAAGCCUCAAGCUUAUUCAUAUACUACUCAAAUGUGGAGUCCCUAUUUCCUUUAAAUGUGUAAUACAAUUAUAUUUUCUUUAAUAUUAAUUUUGCUUCCUCCUUAGAAAGAAACCUACUUAUCUGUAAAUUACAUUUCAAAUCUAAUUAUCAUGUCAAUUUGCAGAUGGCUUAAUAAAGAAAAACAAUCGCAUGCCAGAUUUAAUCUGACUCUUUGGAUCUUUUGUAAUUUCAGUUAA